rnacentral:misc_RNA from 1 species
CAUCCUGUCAAGUUGGCAUACAAGAAGAUAAACAAAUCAUUCUUUAAAUAUCUCAGAAAUGCAAUUAACACCUAUUUUCUUGUUUGAUUAUAUAACCAAAGCAAAAUCUACGGUCAUUUGCACAGUGUUUGACUAUGGCCUGUGAGAUUGAAUUAAGGCCCCACAAAGGUUCAUAUGUCCUAGAAUCAAGGACCAGAUGAUUUGACAUCAUAAGUGUCAAAAAAAUCUACUUGCGUACCACACAAUACUUUCAAACAUAAUAUCAAUUAACAAGGAAUUGCACUUUCAAUUGGCAGGAUAUACUAGUACACCAAUUUCAUAAUUUGCUGCCAAUAUCUCAUAUCUGAUCUUGAACUUGUACCUCAAUUGGGAGAAACAUCCUUCAUAUAUCCUGAAUUCCAUUUCUGUCGUCAAAUUUUAGUUUCUACAUAACAUCUGUGCUCUUGUGUCUGUCCACCACAUUGCCAAGUGCAUUUAUUAAUGAAUUUGGGUUAAAUAUUAUACCAACUUUUGAAUCACGAAUAGAGUCCACAAAGAUCUGCAAAAGACAAACAAAGCAACUCAACAUCAAGGUAAAUGACCCAAGCAAUAAUCAAGACUAUAUCAGAAUCCACUAUAGAGCACUCAAUUAUAGCCAUGCAAAUCACAGCUCAUCUGACUCUUAAAGUAUGACUAUUCCACUACAGGCUCAUCAGGUUAUUUUAAAGGCACAAGAAACACUAGCUACAAGGACCGACGUAAUUUGUAUGUAAUGAAAACAACCCUAGAAAAAGUAAAGCUGAUACCAGACAAAAGUGUUGUACUGAGGAUCCAGAGAGAAUUCAGUGCGAAAUUUUUCUAUUCAAUAGCAUUUGUUUUGAUCACGGUAAAAUAAAAUCCUGGGAAAAACUUCCAGUAUGUUUGACUAGAAAUAACAAUACCUUCACUUUUCAAAUGGAUGAAAAUACUUUAAUAUAAGUUGUUAAACUUCAAAGAUAUACUCAACUCAACUCAACUCA